rnacentral:rRNA from 1 species
AAACCGACCUGGCUCACACCGGUUUAAACUCAGAUCAUGUAAAAUUUUAAAGGUCGAACAGACCUAAUUUAAAAAGCUCCUUCACCAAUAAUUUAUUUUAAUCCAACAUCGAGGUCGCAAUCUUUUUUUUCGAUAAGAACUYUAAAAAAAAUUACGCUGUUAUCCCUAAGGUAAUUUACUYUUACAUUCUAAAAMUUAGGAUCACGUACUCARUCAUCUGUGUUUCCAUAUAAAAAAAGUUUUGUUAAUUUUUUAAUCACCCCAACAAAAUAUAUAAACUUAAGCCUAAACAAAAUUCUUAAACUAAAUAUUAAGUAAAUACAUAAAACUCUAUAGGGUCUUCUCGUCUUCAAUAAACAUUUAAGCUUUUUCACUUAAAAAUAAAAUUCUACCUAACUUUUAUAGAGACAGCCACUUUCUCAUUAAACCUUUCAUACAAGCUCUCAAUUAAAAAACUAAUGAUUAUGCUACCUUUGCACGGUCAAUAUACCGCGGCCAUUUAAUUCCUCAACGGGCAGGUUA